UUGAAAGGGAAACGAUUGAAGUCAGUCGUACCGACGAGAAAUCAGCUUUUCGAGUGUGAACUUGUGGGCGUGCGUGAGUCUUUAACGGGCCUCGCUGUUUGCAAUUUUGUGCUUUUUGAGUGUACUUUUUCGUAUGGUAGGCCAACGUCAGUUUCGAUCACCGUAAAAUGAUCGGAGGAAUGUAGCUUCGAUCUCGUAUUGAAGUAUUAUAGCCUCUGGUAGAUGCGGUGACCGAAACUGAGGAUUGCAACGAAUACCCUCUGGGCUAUCCGUCUGACCUCUGAAAGUUGCUUAGGUGCCGAAAGCGUGCUUACGGCUAUUUAAGUUGACGGUCAACAGGUUAGAACGUGAUUAUAUUCGUUAAGGAUGUUGACGUA
rnacentral:rRNA from 1 species